GUUUAGCCGUGAUUACAGCAUUUGUCUGAGCUCAUUUCCUGGGUUUCGGCGCGGCUUCGCCGCGCCGAAACCCAGGAAAUAGCGAGUGCGGAAAGCGCGAAACAGC
rnacentral:misc_RNA from 1 species